ensembl:ncRNA lncRNA:CR44760 long non-coding RNA:CR44760
GCUCCACAGAAUCCGAAUCCGAACCCGAAUCUGAUUGUGGAUCUGGAUCUGAAUCCCCUUGGAAGCGUUCUAAAUUUGCGGAUGUUUACAAGCUUGGCACCCAAAAAAAAGAAGACAACGCAAACAUCGCACCAUUCUAGCACUGAAAAUGAAAUGGACCUACAAUAGCUUAAUGUAACUUAUAACAUUCAUGUGAAUGCACCUUGCACCAACUCAAAGAAUUCUAAAAUCAAUAUCUAUAAUAUAUAAUCCCGAAAAUCAGUUAUAAUAUUAUUUAAAUCUUACCUUCUAGAUAGCAACC